CACGUAGGGCGCAAGCGUUGUCCGGAAUUAUUGGGCGUAAAGAGCUCGUAGGCGGUCUGUUGCGUCCGCUGUGAAAACUCGGGGCUUAACCUCGAGCCUGCAGUGGAUACGGGCAGACUAGAGGUAGGUAGGGGAGAAUGGAAUUCCCGGUGUAGCGGUGAAAUGCGCAGAUAUCGGGAGGAACACCGGUGGCGAAGGCGGUUCUCUGGGCCUUCCUGACGCUGAGGAGCGAAAGCCGUGGGGAGCGAACAGG
rnacentral:rRNA from 1 species